rnacentral:rRNA from 1 species
AUAUCUGCCCUAUCAACUCUGAUGGUAGGAUAGAGGCCUACCAUGGUUGCAACGGGUAACGGGGAAUAAGGGUUCGAUUCCGGAGAGGGAGCCUGAGAAACGGCUACCACAUCCAAGGAAGGCAGCAGGCGCGCAAAUUACCCAAUCCCGACACGGGGAGGUAGUGACAAUAAAUAACAAGAUAGGGCUUNCAUAGGUCUUAUAAUUGGAAUGAGUACAAUUUAAAUCCCUUAACGAGGAACAAUUGGAGGGCAAGUCUGGUGCCAGCAGCCGCGGUAAUUCCAGCUCCAAUAGCGUAUAUUAAAGUUGUUGCAGUUAAAAAGCUCGUAGUUGAACUUCAGGCCUGGUCGUUCGGUCCGCCUCACGGCGUGUUUACUGUAUCGACUGGGCCUUCCUUUCUUGGUGAGCUCUGCAUGCCCUUUAUUGGGUGUGUGGAUGUCUGGCCAGGACUUUUACUUUGAAAAAAUUAGAGUGUUCAAAGCAGGCCUAUGCCCGAAUAUAUUAGCAUGGAAUAAUAGAAUAGGACGUUGCGGUCCUAUUUUGUUGGUUUCUAGGAUCGCCGUAAUGAUUAAUAGGGAUAGUCGGGGG